rnacentral:rRNA from 1 species
GAUGAACGCUGGCGGCGUGCUUAACACAUGCAAGUCGAACGAUGAAGCCCAGCUUGCUGGGUGGAUUAGUGGCGAACGGGUGAGUAACACGUGAGUAACCUGCCCUUGACUCUGGGAUAAGCCUGGGAAACUGGGUCUAAUACUGGAUAUGACUUCUCAUCGCAUGGUGGGGGGUGGAAAGAUUUAUUGGUCUUGGAUGGACUCGCGGCCUAUCAGCUUGUUGGUGAGGUAAUGGCUCACCAAGGCGACGACGGGUAGCCGGCCUGAGAGGGUGACCGGCCACACUGGGACUGAGACACGGCCCAGACUCCUACGGGAGGCAGCAGUGGGGAAUAUUGUACAAUGGGCGCAAGCCUGAUGCAGCGACGCCGCGUGAGGGAUGACGGCCUUCGGGUUGUAAACCUCUUUCAGUAGGGAAGAAGCGAGAGUGACGGCACCUGCAGAAGAAGCGCCGGCUAACUACGUG